UAGUGGCGAACGAGGUAGUAAUACGCAGGAACUUCCCCCAAAGUCUUGAAUAAUCCGGAGAAAUCCGGACUAAUACAAGAUGGUCUCGCAAGAGUAAAGAAUUUCGCUUUGGGAAAGGCCUGUGCGGUAUCAGCUAGUUGGUAGUGUAAUGGACUACCAAGGCUAUGACGCCUAGGGGAGCUGAGAGGCUGACCCCCACCGAUGGUACUGAGACACGGACCAUACACCUACGGGUGGCUGCAGUCGAGAAUCUUCCGCAAUGGGCGAAAGCCUGACGGAGCGACGCCGCGUGAUUGAUGAAGUCCCUUUGGGACGUAAAGAUCUUUUAUGAGGGAAGAAGUUUAUUGACUGUACCUCAUGAAUAAGAGGCUCCCAAUCUCGUGCCAGCAGGAGCGGUAAUACGAGAGCCUCGAGCGUUAUCCGGAAUUAUUGGGCGUAAAGGGUGCGUAGGUUGUUUUGUUAGUCUUUCGUGAAAUCCCCGAGCUUAACUUGGGAUAUGCGAAAGAAACGGCAAAACUUGAAAGUGUGAGAGGUGUACAGAACUUAUGGUGUAGGGGUGAAAUCCGUUGAUAUCAUAGGGAAUACCAAAUGCGAAGGCAGUACACUGGCACAUGUUUGGCACUGAAGCACGAAAGCGUGGGUAGCGAAUGGGAUUAGAUACCCCAGUAGUCCACGCCCUAAACGAUGAUCUCUCGCUAAUCGGAGUAUCGACCCUCUGAGUGGCUUAGCUAACGCGUUAAGAGAUCCGCCUGGGAAGUACGGCCGCAAGGCUAAAACUCAAAGGAAUAGACGGGGACUUGCACAAGCAGUGGAUUAUGUGGUUUAAUUCGAUGGUAAACGAAGAACCUUACCAGGGUUAGAA
rnacentral:rRNA from 1 species